rnacentral:lncRNA from 1 species
AUGAUCUUUAAAAUUAGCUCCACAAUACACGAGCUAUUGAUUUAAUUGCAAUUUGCACAAGCGUUUAUCAUAAUCUAAAUCCUAGUUGACGUGGCUCCCGAAAUUUGCAAACGUGGACGCAUCGGCGUUCAAGUAAUACAACGUCGUUUUGUAGUUAUAUUCUAACACUUAAACGACGUCGUUUUGAGUGAGUGUAAUUUNUUUUUUCCAAAAAUUUCCACAAAAAAAGAGGGGCGGUGGAAUCGUGCUUGAGGUAAAAAGGCACGGGCCCUAGUUUUCUCCUCUCUGUUUCCAAUCUACCGCUGCCGAGGAACCGGCGAGCGGCGCCGCUUGGAGGACGCGACACCUUUUUCCCGUCUGGAGCUCGUCCGCCGCGCCGUCACGCCAUUGAUCCCGGGCCCUGUGAGUCGUCGCCGCUCUGCUUUUCAUCUCGGCAUGCAGUAAGUCCGUGGGUCACCCUCAAACAAAAGCUCCGGCGCGAACUCCUCAUCCCCUCUCUAUUUUUGCUGAACUCCGACGAGCAGCGGGGUUCUGCCGCCGUUGUUCUUCCCUGGCCCAUUCUUUCUUUAAAUGCUACGGUUCUUCAUUUUUUUUUCUAUUUCAUUCCUUUUUUUAUUUUUAUUUUAUUUUAUUUUUUUGUUAGAAAUUAUUUUUAAUAUUUUUUAUUUAUAUUUUUUUCUAUUAUAAAAAUUUAAGGCAACUAAAAAUAUUAAAU